rnacentral:lncRNA from 1 species
AAAGACGAGAAUCAGGUAUGCGUAGUUCGGGCAGAUUGGAUACGCGCGAGAAUUUUGUCUUUUUUUUUUGAAAAAUGAUGAAACAUGUAAAAUAUUUUUAGAUUCUCUUUUCCCUUUUUUUUUGAUUUUUUGAUUUUCAGAAUGACGAAAAAGUGCAAAAUCUUUUUUUGGCAUUUUUCAUGUAUUUUUUUCUUUUUCUUAACAAAAAUGUGAAAAAAAACAUAACGGUGCCCUACUUGCUUUAUUUUCAUACUUCACCCUCUUUUCUCUUUUUUUCAUUUGCCCUCAACUAUCAUUAGUCCGCCAAAUGACCCUUUUACCCUUGAGGAUAUGCAACAUGUAGCACAUAGGAUGCAGCAAGAUGGUCUGUUAUUUUGGGUACACAUGUCCUAGACGGGCCCAACCCCUGUGUUGAGUCCCCAAAGUCAAAUGCACAUGAUGCAAACAAACGUUCCUACUAGGGAUCCGGCAUGAGGUUAUGUUAUUCUAAGUUUAAACCUGGGGUUGUGUUCUUGACCUGGCUUACCCGACCGGACUAAUGGGGUCGAAGAGGGGGCAACGUACCGGGAGCACUAAAGACUACUCGGCCUUGCUGCUGGCCCAGCCUCGUUCUAUUUGGUAUAAUUUCUACAAAAAAAGCGGACCACACGAACGUGUGCACCAUUUUCAGAAGACAGUUAUAUACAAUUCAAACAAUAUUAAACUGGUAAAUAGAUAGCAUUUAGCACAAAAGGUUCACAGAAUACAGUAAUAUGAACAACAAAUAAAGCCAAGUAAACAUCAUAUUAACAAGCUCGAAUUCUUGAACCCUGAACCAGAGAUUCUGGGUUCCUGUCCCCAGCAGAGUCACCAGAGCUGUCACACCUCCUUUUCACUACACCGAAAGGGUGUAAGGGAGUUUUUUCCAAUUUAAGUGACAAUCGAAACGGGAUUAUUUAUAUUAAAUUCAGAGUUGCCACUUGGGAUAAUUUAUGGUGUCCCAAGUCACUGGUUUAAAAUCCCGAAUCGAGGAAAGUUAACUCUAUUUACGGUCUGCGAACACAGAAAACCAAGUAAGGAAUUCUGUUAACGGGAGAAGGUGUUAGGCAUUCCCGAGUUUCGUGGUUCUAGCACGGUCACUUUGAUCAUACUUGGCUUAAACAAAUUGUUUGAUUACUGAUUUUAGAACCUAUGUGCAUUUGCCUUUUUUAAUUAAGAAAUUAUCUUGAAAUGGGUCACACGUACGUGUACCCAUUUGUUUGGCGCGUCAAAAAUCAUGUCACGCGAACGUGUCCACAAUUAAUAACGCUUUAUUAUUAAAAAAAAAUUGGCCAAAGUUGUGUGAACGCAUACUACGGUUUUGUUUUUAGAAUCGUAAUUAUGUCACGCGAACGUGUCCACAAUCACAAUGAUACAUUAAACGGGCCUAAAGAAACCACGAGCAUUUUUCAUUUUUAUAUCUAGGUUAUGAAAUUAAUACGAGGGUCAUGAAUGAUUAAAUUGUGGAUGGCACACCUCGGGCUAUGUGAACUAUAUUUCAAUUAGUGGCCUAUUACAAGAAUUUUAUUAUUAAGAAGGUUUGAUCGAAGUUGCACGAACGCAUACUCCGAAUUAGUUUUCAGAAUCGUAAUUAUGUCAGGCGAACGUGUACACAAUCGCGAUGAUAUAUUAAAUCGUGCCUAAAGCAAGCUACGAGGUUCAAAGCAUUUUUCUAUAUUAGUAAAGAUAUAGAUAUGAGGGCCAUAGACUAUGUGAUAGGAGGGCCAGAGCUGUCACACUAUUCGAGCCAACAUCUACAAAUUGUAUAUGGGAAAUCAAAAUUUCUUACACAAAAUAUAGCUACUUUUAACGAGUGUCAACUUUUAAUUGAAUUGGGUAACUAUUUGAGACAAUACUCAAAAGCAAAUCCUAUAAGGUAAUGCCUUUUUGAAAUGAUAGCAUAUCAAAAGGAUGAUUGUGGUGAUUUUCUACUCUCUUGCAUUAUAACUCUCUCAGUGAAACAAGUUACCUGUAUAUCAGUAGUAUCAUAAGUCAUAUCUCACUUUCCAUUUCCCACUAUUAUUGACAUGGAGUGUCCAAUUGUUUUCUCUGAUCUGAAAGUAAGGAACCUUUUCAACGACUUCAUAUCCAACUUUGAGCCUCACAUCUUGGUCUUUUUUCACAUUCAUGAUGUUCCAAGUAAAUUCAGCAGCAACUCUUGAGAAAUAUAAAUCAGAUCUCUCACUAAUAUACACUUCUAUGCACUAAAGUUUUUCAUUUCCAGAAAUUAAACUAUAUUAUGAUGUAUAUAGAGAUUCAGAUAUGAAAAUACUAAACCACAAAUAAUGUAUUCACAAUGUGUAACUUCAAAUCCAUGUCAUCAAAACCAUGUAUAUGAAAUUAAAAGGAGAUAGCAAUUAACGAUAGCAAGAAUUUUAUAAAUAGAGCAUUGUAAUAGACAGAAAUAGCAAAUGUAUAUGAAAGAAUUGAAACUCAAACCUCAAACCGGAAACAAAGAACAACGAUCUCAAAUCGAACCCCGAUGGAACUCAAGCUGGACCGGAACAUAACAGAAACUCUUCCUCAAAUCCCUUAAGGUAUAUAUCAUUGCCAGCAGUUUCAUCCUCGGCAUUCAAAUCGCCAACAAAGGAUCCCAAAUUUUGGCUCAUUAUUUGCCCCUCAUUCUAAAAGACGGAAGGGAGAGGAUCUGAAAAUACACACAACUAUUUCAUUCCCUAAUACACUUACUCAUGAUUACACAAAAAGAAAACUGGAUUUUCAAAAAAAGAGAAGGGGUGGGCAACGGCUAUUAGCCUUUGGAGAUCAGGUGGCCGCUGCUACUGGUUUCCGGCGAACAGCGAGGUGGGGUUGCACUGGUUUCGUCUUGGUGUUAAAAGUUUAUGAGCGAGGAUCUCAUUUUUUGUUCUGCCGCUGCUUAGGUCUUUUGGGUUGGAGUCCUCUCUAGGUCUAGGUCUUGUUGUUGUAGAAGAAAGGGCAAUGACUUAAGAUUUUUUGUGUCUCAAGAAGAAGAAGCUCAAGGCUCGCUGGGUGGGGGGGGUUUGAAGAAGACGGGUUUCACGGGGUGGGGUCUAAUUUGCUGAAAACGGCGCUCAUCAGGUGUAUAGGUCUUUAGGUCUAUGUUG